GACGAACGCUGGCGGCGUGCUUAACACAUGCAAGUCGAACGGAAAGGCCCUGCGUUUGUGGGGUUCUCGAUUGGCGAACGGGUGAGUAUGACGUGUGUAUCCUGCUCUUGACUUUCGGAGAACUUCACGAAACUGGGGCUAAUAUCGGAUAGGAUCUCCUGCUCCGUGGUGGGCGUUGGAAAGUUUCGGCGGUUGGGGAUGGACUCGCGGCUUAUGAGCUUGUUGGUGGGGUAGGUGCUUACCAAGGCUUUGAAGGGUAGCCGGCAUGAGAGAGUGACCGGCGACCAUACGACUGCGAGAGGGAGCAGUCGCGAACGGGAGGCAGUAGUGGGGAACCUUGCACAGUGGGCGGGAGCCUGAUACAGCAGCGUCGCGUUCGGGAUGACGUCUUUCUGGUUGAAAACAGCUUUCGCCUGUGACGAAGCGUGAGUGACGGUAAUGAGUAAAGAAGCACCGGCUAACUACGUG
rnacentral:rRNA from 1 species